ACUGUCUUCCCUCUGCGCAGCAACUAAUGAAUAGGACACUCUGGUUUCUGGGUUAAAUGCGGUCCUGGAAUUCCCCAAGUCCCGGACGAUGAAGGACGCUGACCCCGAAGGAAAGAAAUCUCCUCGUGCCCCACUUGGACUGCUAUUAUUCCAGAAUGAUCUUAUGAAAGGCUGCGUCUUGUCCAAUAAUCAUUACCUAUUAAUUAAGAACCCACAGGACCAUGGAGAAUAGAUUUAAUUGACCAUCUACAGAAGAAGCAUCCAGCUAACUUCUGUAUGCCAGGUCGUCUUCCCCGAACUUCCCAGCCAGGAGAAGCACUGCUGGGAGACCGAAGGUCAAAUUCCAGGCAGAAAGAAAGAAUGAAAAAGUGAAAGAGAAGGGGACAAAAAUCUGAUUGUUCCAGUUCACCAUUAUAAGCCACAUCAUAGUAUAUAUCACUGCCCACCAUGAAAAAGGCAUUUGGC